CCUACGGGAGGCAGCAGUGAGGAAUAUUGGUCAAUGGACGAGAGUCUGAACCAGCCAAGUAGCGUGAAGGAUGACUGCCCUAUGGGUUGUAAACUUCUUUUAUAUGGGAAUAAAAUGUUCCACGUGUGGGAUUUUGUAUGUACCAUAUGAAUAAGGAUCGGCUAACUCCGUGCCAGCAGCCGCGGGAAUACGGAGGAUUCGGGCGUUAUCCGGAUUUAUUGGGGUUAAAGGGAGCGUAGGGGGAUUGUUAAGUCAGUUGUGAAAGUUUGCGGCUCAACCGUAAAAUUGCAGUUGAAACUGGCAGUCUUGAGUACAGUAGAGGUGGGCGGAAUUCGUGGUGUAGCGGUGAAAUGCUUAGAUAUCACGAAGAACUCCGAUUGCGAAGGCAGUUCACUGGACUGCAACUGACACUGAGGCUCGAAAGUGUGGGUAUCAAACAGGAUUAGAUACCCCUGUAGUC
rnacentral:rRNA from 1 species